AUAUACAAACCAUCACAGGGAUCAUCUCUAUAGUUCAUUACGAGAGGAGAGAGGAGUUUCUCUGUGCAGAGCACCCAAGACCAUGAGGCUGCAGGGUGGAGUUCCCUCUUGUGUGUGAAGCUGCUGUAGGUGCUGCUUCCUGCGGCUAGCUGCCCUUUGCCAUCAAUGAUCCAUUUUCUCUUUGAGAGAAUGAGAGGAGGGGAAGGCAGUCUGCGUGGA